rnacentral:tRNA from 17 species
GGGCCGUUAGCUCAAUUGGCAGAGCAGCGGACUUUUAAUCCGUUGGUUGUGGGUUCGAGUCCCACACGGCCUACCA